rnacentral:rRNA from 1 species
GACGAACGCUGGCGGCGUGCUUAACACAUGCAAGUCGAACGAAGAGCGAUGGAAGCUUGCUUCUAUCAAUCUUAGUGGCGAACGGGUGAGUAACGCGUAAUCAACCUGCCCUUCAGAGGGGGACAACAGUUGGAAACGACUGCUAAUACCGCAUACGAUCUAAUCUCGGCAUCGAGGAUAGAUGAAAGGUGGCCUCUACAUGUAAGCUAUCACUGAAGGAGGGGAUUGCGUCUGAUUAGCUAGUUGGAGGGGUAACGGCCCACCAAGGCGAUGAUCAGUAGCCGGUCUGAGAGGAUGAACGGCCACAUUGGGACUGAGACACGGCCCAGACUCCUACGGGAGGCAGCAGUGGGGAAUCUUCCGCAAUGGACGAAAGUCUGACGGAGCAACGCCGCGUGAGUGAUGACGGCCUUCGGGUUGUAAAGCUCGGUUAAUCGGGACGAAAGGCCUUCUUGCGAAUAGUGAGAAGGAUUGACGGUACCGGAAUAGAAAGCCACGGCUAACUACGUG